GGCUGGGAGGGCAUGUCCUCUCUUCUCUGGCCCAUGGCGGGGUCAGGGUUUACCUCCUCUGGGCAGGGGUGGACUGGGUGGUGCUGAGCUGGAUCAGCCAGUGCAGGGCUGCCCUUACCCUGUGGGAGAGACUGUGGAAUUAGACUCAGUUCAUCACUUAAAUGCUCUGAAGAGCCAAUGAGGCAAGACGGCAUGUCAAAAAACAACUUAUUACAGUAAUAGGGUGGAAAGACGAUUUCUCAGACUCCAGACUCUCAGAGGAUGAAGGACUUCUGCUUUGUUUCACAUAAGCUGCCGUGGAUCUGGAAUAGGACGCACGCGAAGCUCCCGCGCCGCUCGCCGCUCGCUGCUCGGGGAGAUAAAAACGCUCCUGGAUGAAAGGGCGGCUGGGAUGCCAGGCUGGCAGUGCGCUCUGCGUCUCCGCGUUCUCCAUUCUGCCGAGAUCUGGAAGGCUUUCAGAACACGAGCGACUAGAGGAUCCUAAAGCCAAAUGCCUUAAAAUGGUUACCCCAGAGUUCAAGCUUCUGCCUUCCACCUGAGAGAGAAUUCCCAAACUGCCUGAGGAGGAAGAAAACUAUGUCCAGGGUCCCUACUUCCCAGAGGCUCCCCCGAGAAUCUGGACAGGGGAGAGUUCAGAGAUCUGCAGAAGACCAACAGAUCUUAAGCCUGGGAGAUGCCUUAAACACCAGUCUACGGGAGUGCAGGUUAAUUCAAGAAGCUGGGGUCAGAGAGGAGAGCUUCCGGGAGCUUUGAUCCAGGGUCAUGGCUGCUCUGCCCUCCUUAAUCCAACCAGGCUCAGCCCUCUGUGUCUAUGCUCACCUGUAGCCCUCCCCCCCC